rnacentral:lncRNA from 1 species
CCACUUCAAGCAAACACCAUCAGCACCUGCCACACAGCAAAGCUCACCACUUCUAGGAUCCUAAACCAGACAUGAGGUCAUGUUCUCCAUCUGUGAAGAAUUAAAAAUGGAUAACAAUGUCAGCAAAUGUCAGAGUGAAAAGAAGUUUUAAAAGUACAGAUCCUAAAACCCAACAAGGCAGGCACCUGCAGCCCCCACUCCUGUAACAGAGAAAAGGAAAUUUCCACUUUGCAAUUGCAUCUGAUCACCAGGAAGCUCUAGUUUUGUGGGAAGAGAGCUGCAUCCAACCCUUCUGAAAUCACACCCAGAGACGCCAGCUGGCUGACGGGGACAGGCUUCCUGGCUGGCGGACGAUGCAGGGGAGUAAGAAGUGCGCGGAUGGCUUCAGCGACUCCUCAAGCAUUGGCAGUGUGCUGGAUGACGCAGACAAGGAGGACCGAGAGCCAGCGCUGUGACAGCCGGCCUCCUGCCAGCAAGCCCCCAGCCCUCAAAAAUCCCCCCAAAUUUGCUCCUCUUCCGGAAAGUGGCGUCAACUUCUGCUUCGAUUCUGCCUUUUUGACCGUCAGGAGGGUGCCUGCCGAAGUCUCCAGCACCCAUCAGACCAGCCACCAGCCUGGCCGGAAGCACGGAGAGCAGGAAGCCCCUAAGAAUCCCGAAAUGGCCAGUCACGGCCCCAGCAGCUUCCUCCCAACUCCUGAACACGCAGCCAGUUCAUUUGAGCCAAAGUUCCCCUCUCCUGCCCACAAGGCAGCCACCAGUGAGCCUGGACGGGGCCAGGAGUGGGCUCGCAAAGGGACCUUUCUCCAUAGUGAGAACAGUGCUUUUGAGUCAUGGAAUGCCCACCAGCCGAGGCUACCCGAGAGAAAGGAUGCUGCUGAUGCUGUCCCAGAAAGCAAGGCUCUCAAGCAUUAUGAGGACACGCCCUUGUUAAGAGAGCCCCCGGCCCCUGAGCACAAAACCUCCCCCUGCCGUGUCCGGGCCAACUGCAGUCAAGAAGAGAACAAGAUGGCUGCAGGGACUCUCCCCACAUCUGGAACCUGGGUGUCGAGGGAUUUGGGACCCCAGACAUUUGCUAUGGAAGAAAAAACUUCCAGCUCACAGGCUGACCCUCCUCCAUUGAAACCAACCCAUGCCCCCUGGAGGAAACCAAAGUCUGGCAAUGGAGGGAAAGACAGUCUACAGGAUGCUUCAGAAGAGAAGAAACAGACCAACUGGAGAGGCCCAGCCUUGUAUACAAAGCACAAUCCCCAGGCGCAGUUUCCAGAAAAGGAUGCUCUUGAUAUGCCUGUGGAGCCGCACGAGCGUUACGAUCCUCCUUUCAACAUCAGUAAGCUUCUGACCCCUGUCAUACCCACCAAACAGGUCCUGGAAUCGUCUGAGAGCCAGCCAGCGGAGAUAACCCCUUCACCCCCAGGACAGCUAAAUGGAUACCAAGAGAAAGAGCCCAGUGAAUGUCAGUCCCGGGACAGCUACAAAUCUAAAGCCCCCAGCCUGCUGUUCAACCUCAAAGAUGUGCGGAAGCAGGUCAAGAGCACGUACAGCCCCUCGCCUCUCAUGAAAGGCCUGGACGAGAAAACCAGGGGCAAGCAAGAACCCCUGAGCAACGGCGGACUCCUUCCCAAUGGGCUAGAGGAAAACCCUCCAGAUGAGUUCUCUAAGGAGACACCAGAUGACGGCCCUUCUGUGCCACUCGCCAGUAUCCGGAAGGACCCCAAAGCUGACCCUGACGCAGCCUCUGCAGACAACUACCUAACUCCCACCUCACCAUCAACUAUCACCAAAGCCCCCUUCUGUGUCAACGGCGAGGCUGCCGACAGGAACAGCUAUGAGAAGGACGAUACCAAUGGAGAAUCCGAGUUGGGUGAUGCCAGGCCCAGCUGGCGUUCGGACUCCAGGCAACGCCGCCACAGGAGACAUCUGUCCCUGAAGCUUUGCAGCGAAAACCCUGAGGCAGGGAAGGCUGCAGAGACCCCAAAGACCUCUGGCCUAGAGAAUGGAUUCUUGAGAUCCAUCUCUCAAGAGACAGAACCCGAGAGAGAGGCAGGACUUCAGAAUCCAAACUUCAACCCGAAACUCUCCCCAGGGCCCCUUUCUCCCGAGGAGGAAGAUGUGUUUUACAGCGACAGCCAAUCUGAUUUUAUGCCGGGCCUCAAAAGUAAGGCCAAGUUCAGCACCAGCUCUUCAGAUCAGUCCUUUGCCUCGUUCGAGGAUCAGCAGAAGACGUGGUUCACUGAGACCCAGCAGGAAGACGGCAGGAACGGCAAGAGUGCAGGUAACGGUGGGAAGGAUGAGCAGGAGAAAGUGAUGGAGGAAGAUGAGCUAGAGUACGGUGCCGUGAGUAACGGGAGUGCAUGCGUGGAGGAGUACAGCAAGCGGGAAUCCUCGCCAGAAGAAGAGGGUUUGCCAGGAGGGAGCCCCGGGAAGGCGCCGAGGGAGGAAGCUGAUUUCAGAGGCGCUGGGACAGGGGGGAGAAAGCCAGACACAGCUCUGUCACAUGCCAAAGGUCCUGCCCCUUCACCAGCUUCCACUUCAAACAAGCACACACUCUUCGCAAUUAAAGACAACACCCUGAGGGCCACCCCCGUGAUCAAACCCAUCAUGCUGCCCCUCCUGAGGUCCAUGUCCGCGGAGUCCCCACUGCGCGGUGGCCACAAAGAAGAAGAGCCGCCAAGGCCAGGCUGGAGCGGGGAUGCUGGUCUCUGUGCCCCUGAGAGCCAGGAAAUGCCCAGCACACUGACACCCACCAGUGCCCGGGGCACACACGGGAAGGGGGUGGCCUGUGAGCGGCUGGAGGACCACGAGUGGGUGCCCAGCGCCGCCAGGUCGGAGACCUCCCAGGCAGCCCCAAAGUGGUAUGUUCCAUCUUCUCCAUUCACAGGGGAGGGCCAGGGGCUGAAGCCACCCCAAAAGGCCACACAGAAAGUUACGGUGAACAAUGGCAAGAGCGGUUCAACAGACCCGGUGAAGCUGGAUGCUCCAAGGUGCAUCCCUACCAUAACUUUGCCGGAAGAUGACCCAGAAGACCAGCUACAGCCACAGCAGCUGGGAACCUUCUGGGAAGAGCAGGUGCAAGGCUUCAAUAGUCACUUUUUGUCUACCCCCAGAGCAGGGCCCCCAGGGAGAAGAUGGGUCACCGGUGAGCUGGCGGCUUCCCCCAAUGCCAGCUCCCUGGAGGAGAGUAGUGCAUGCUCCCCGGCUGCCAGCAGCUUUUGGGACGAUGCUUCCCAGGCCCCCAGUGAGCCUGGCCUGCUGCCAGGGGAGCCUCCGCGCAGCAGCCCCUGGGCCAGCCCCAGCCCUGGCAGGGUGGCCCAGAGGGAAGAGCUGACCCAUGCCCUCGCGUGGGAGCCUGGCUCUGACCCCCAACUGGAGCCAUCAGCCGAAGACCUCAGGACGCUUUCUCCGAGAGGCUCACUGCUGGACAUGGCCGCCAGCUCAGCCGGCCUCCUGGAGAAGCCAGAGCCUCCUGCUCAGCUGGAGAGGGCGGCCGGCAAGCCACCCGCGGUCCCGCCCAAAACAGAGAAGGCCCUGCGGCGGGCAAAGAAGCUGGCAAGCAAGAGGAGAAAGAUCGACCAGCCACAGGAAAAGCAUGGGGAACGCCGCGAAGAAAAGCUGAACCCUGAGGACUCAGAGCGGAGGCCACUGUCCCCCGGAGAGAGGCCCCGGCCCAGGCUCCCCGUGGUCCGCGCCCUGCCCCCUCCCGCACACCGCCACUCCGUGUCAGCCCUUUCAGAGCCAGUCCAGAGGAGGCCCGGGGGGCCCCAGGCCCUGACACCCCAGCCCCCUUACCCUGCCACCCAGAAGGUCCUCCAGGACCCCCAGUCUGGAGAGUACUUUGUCUUUGAUCUGCCGCUCCAGGUGAAAAUCAAGACCUUCUAUGACCCGGAGACAGGCAAAUACGUCAAGGUCUCCAUCCCAUCCUCUGAGCGGGGGUCCCCUGAGCCAACCCCGCCGGACGCCCUUGCUGCUCCCUACGUGCUCUACCCCGGCUUCCGGCCCCUGCCCGUGACGGCUCUCAUGCCCCUGCGCUGCUCCUCCCAGCUCUCUGCCCCCACCUUCCUAAGGCAGCGCCCUCACACCACCGAGGCAGCCGGCCUCAGGCCCCAGAGCGUCCACAAUGUGGGCCUGCAGCUGCCCUCUGAGGCUCCCAGCAACCCCACCCAGCCCUCUGCAGGCCAGCGCCCCGAGGGGCCUCCCCAGAGUGCAGGGCAGGAGAGGGGAGAGGCUCCAAGCCUGGGCAUCAUCUCCACCAAUGACCUAGAGGACUUUGCCACAGAAGGCAUUUCUUGA